GGGCCUGUAGCUUAACUGCAUAAAGCAAGCCUCUCCUAAGGGCUAGAGUACAGGUUGGAUUCCUGUCAGGCUCA
rfam:Hymenobacter sedentarius strain DG5B chromosome, complete genome.